rnacentral:rRNA from 1 species
GACGAACGCUGGCGGCGUGCCUAAUACAUGCAAGUCGAGCGGAAUGAUGAAGAAGCUUGCUUCUUCCGAUUUUAGCGGCGGACGGGUGAGUAACACGUGGGCAACCUACCUUGUAGAUUGGGAUAACUCCGGGAAACCGGGGCUAAUACCGAAUAAUCCAUUUUGCUUCAUGGCGAGAUGUUGAAAGACGGUUUCGGCUGUCACUACAAGAUGGGCCCGCGGCGCAUUAGCUAGUUGGUAGGGUAAUGGCCUACCAAGGCGACGAUGCGUAGCCGACCUGAGAGGGUGAUCGGCCACACUGGGACUGAGACACGGCCCAGACUCCUACGGGAGGCAGCAGUAGGGAAUCUUCCACAAUGGACGAAAGUCUGAUGGAGCAACGCCGCGUGAGUGAAGAAGGUUUUCGGAUCGUAAAACUCUGUUGUAAGGGAAGAACACGUACGAGAGUAACUGCUCGUACCUUGACGGUACCUUAUUAGAAAGCCACGGCUAACUACGUG